rnacentral:ncRNA from 2 species
UGGACCCACGCGGGAGAGGCCCUUGAAUGGGCCGCCGAAGGAGCAACCGCCCCGGCAAUCUCUCAGGCAAACGGACCGCGUGGGGCCG